rnacentral:rRNA from 1 species
UACAGAGGUCCCAAGCGUUGUUCGGAUUCACUGGGCGUAAAGGGUGCGUAGGCGGUCGGGUAAGUCUGACGUGAAAUCUCCAAGCUCAACUUGGAAAUGGCGUCGGAUACUAUUCGGCUUGAGGAGUGGAGGGGAGACUGGAAUUCUCGGUGUAGCAGUGAAAUGCGUAGAUAUCGAGAGGAACACCAGUGGCGAAGGCGAGUCUCUGGACACUUCCUGACGCUGAGGCGCGAAAGCCAGGGGAGCAAACGGG